UACGAAGGGGGGCUAGCGUUGUUCGGAUUUACUGGGCGUAAAGCGCACGUAGGCGGAUCUUUAAGUCAGAGGUGAAAUCCCGGAGCUCAACUUCGGAACUGCCUUUGAUACUGGGGAUCUCGAGUUCGGGAGAGGUGAGUGGAACUGCGAGUGUAGAGGUGAAAUUCGUAGAUAUUCGCAAGAACACCAGUGGCGAAGGCGGCUCACUGGCCCGAUACUGACGCUGAGGUGCGAAAGCGUGGGGAGCAAAGCAGG
rnacentral:rRNA from 1 species